rnacentral:ncRNA from 1 species
ACUCGAUAAUGGCAAACUUAUUGAAAGAUAAGGACGCAAAGCGACGGGCCUAAUGCAAUGUGCGAUGGCAGCCGAGUACCGAA